rnacentral:rRNA from 1 species
AACGCGAAGAACCUUACCAAGGCUUGACAUACACCAGAACGGGCCAGAAAUGGUCAACUCUUUGGACACUGGUGAACAGGUGGUGCAUGGUUGUCGUCAGCUCGUGUCGUGAGAUGGUGGGUUAAGUCCCGUAACGAGCGCAACCCUUGUCCUUAGUUACCAGCACGUCAUGGUGGGCACUCUAAGGAGACUGCCGGUGACAAACCGGAGGAAGGUGGGGAUGACGUCAAGUCAUCAUGGCCCUUACGGCCUGGGCUACACACGUGCUACAAUGGUCGGUACAGAGGGUUGCCAAGCCGCGAGGUGGAGCUAAUCUCACAAAACCGAUCGUAGUCCGGAUCGCAGUCUGCAACUCGACUGCGUGAAGUCGGAAUCGCUAGUAAUCGCAAAUCAGAAUGUUGCGGUGAAUACGUUCCCGGGCCUUGUACACACCG